rnacentral:rRNA from 1 species
CCUACGGGCGGCUGCAGUGAGGAAUAUUGGUCAAUGGACGAAAGUCUGAACCAGCCAAGUAGCGUGAAGGAUGACUGCCCUAUGGGUUGUAAACUUCUUUUAUAUGGGAAUAAAAUGUUCCACGUGUGGGAUUUUGUAUGUACCAUAUGAAUAAGGAUCGGCUAACUCCGUGCCAGCAGCCGCGGUAAUACGGAGGAUCCGAGCGUUAUCCGGAUGUAUUGGGUUUAAAGGGAGCGUAGGUGGAAGGGUAAGUCAGUUGUGAAAGGUUGCGGCUCAACCGGAGAAUUGCAGUUGAAACUGGAAGGCUUGAGUACAGUAGAGGUGGGUGGAAUUCGUGGUGUAGCGGUGAAAUGCGUAGAUAUGACGAAGAACUCCGAUGGCGAAGGCAGCUCACUGGACUGCAACUGACACUGAGGCUCGAAAGUGUGGGUAUCAAACAGGAUUAGAUACCCCGGUAGUC